AGGAUAUAAAGAACUCCCACAAGCUUAGCAUUCCAAUAACGGAACACCGGGCAUAAAUGCGUUAAUUCACUGCUGUAUUUGUAGAGCAAUAUGGGAGGUUAGAAUGGAUCAUCAUAGGCUCAGGGUCGAAGGGAGAGGAAAAGAAGGAAUUCAGUCUUUUAACCUGCAAGAAAACUCACUCAUGCAGACAGAAGUCCAACAGCAAACAGCACACCAGGGUUGCGACUGAAAUGAAGAGCAGUUGAUCAUUAUUCACCCUGUAUGAAAAUGAUACGACCUAAAAGUUUAACUGAGUAGUACAGUAUUUUGGAGACUACAGGUUUCUCCAUGGAGCAGCACAGAGGGUGAACAAAGGCAGGAAAGCUGUUCAAUACACAAGAAAAUAACACACACACUGUUUCCACGGUAUCUCACGGCAGACAUAACUUCCUAAGCCCACCCACAUCUGCACAGGAACAAAAUUGGAGCUGAAGAAGCAAAAGAGUAAGCUGCACCCUUCUUAUUUCUGGUCUCUAGAGCUGGGAUUCUUGACUAACGAUGGAAGGGGAAGCAGUGAGAUAUGAAAUGGAUAUGAGAUUAAAGUUUCCAGCAGGACUGAAUUUUAAUAACUGAAAGGACUGGAAAGUGAUGCAGUCUACUCAAGAUAUUAAGAUAUGGAAAAUAGAGAUUUAACAGAGCAUAAUUAAAAGCAGAGUUUGGAGAAAAUUAAAA
rnacentral:lncRNA from 10 species